UUACUUAUGGUGUAAUAUGAUCACGUUAGCUUUUCGUGUUAAAGAUGCAGAGAGACUGCUGGGUAAU
rnacentral:tRNA from 1 species